GCUAUGUAGACCAGGCUGGCCUCAGACUCAUAUGAUCUGCCCGUUUCUGCCUCAAGUGUGUACUACCCAUACCCAGUGGAAAUAUGCAUCUUAACUGCUCUGUCAUGGCUGGUCCCUCAGCCACAAGCAUCUGAACUAAAAUAGAAUCGAAUCUCCUGUUAGAGAUGGAAAGUAUUCCGCCCAAGCUCACACUAUAGUGGGGAAGGCAAAGUGGAGUUCAUGGCAGCAGAACCAUGUGUGGAGGUGUCUCAUACAGCACAAAGGAAGCAAAGUGCUCAGACUGGAGCCAGAGGUGGGUAUACCCUCCAGAGGCCCACUUCUAGUGACCUACGCCUGCCAUCCCAGCCCUAGCUCCUAAAGGCUCCAUGACCUUCUGAGCAGUACCACAAGCUGAAGAUCAAGUUUUUAAAACAUGAGCCUGUGGGGGAAAUCUUAGAUUCAAGACACAAUAUCUCAUAACUCAUC